ACAAUCACACACAAACACACACAAAUACACCAAGCAUGACACACACACACACACACACAAAACUACACACCAAGCAUGACACACACAAACACACACAAAUACACCAAGCAUGACACACACGCACACACACCAAGUUUGGCCUGCUUUCUGAACAACCAAUGAGAUGACAUCACUUUGUCCACUGUCCAAUCCAUGAGGAUUUGUUUCCACUUCAACAUAAACUCGUGAAACCAAAAUGGAGCUCAAAGAUUCAGAAUUAAUAAAAAAAAUAUUUUUAAUUAAUUUAUAGUGCAUGUAUGUCUGUGUGUGUGUUUGUGUGUGUGUAGGCCUGUGUGUCUCUGUGUGUGUGUGAGAGUGCGUGUAUGUCUGUGUGUAUGUUUGUUUGUGUGUGUGUCAGAGUGAGUCAUGUGAAUGUUAUGAUUUUAUUUCUGCUGAAUUCUGAUUUGUUAAAUUAACUAUUGGUAAAACUAACAUUCUG